rnacentral:rRNA from 1 species
UGCGUAGGUGGCGGGGUAAGUCGGAUGUGAAAUCUCCGAGCUCAACUCGGAAAUGGCAUUGGAAACUACCUUGCUCGAGGGUUGGAGGGGGGACUGGAAUACUUGGUGUAGCAGUGAAAUGCGUAGAUAUCAAGUGGAACACCAGUGGCGUAAGCGAGUCCCUGGACAACUCCUGACACUGAGGCACGAAAGCUAGGGGAGCAAACA